GGGGAAUUAGCUUAAUUGGUAGAGCAUCUGUUUUGCAUGCAGAAGGUUAACGGUUCAAUUCCGUUAUUCUCCA
rnacentral:tRNA from 1 species